rnacentral:rRNA from 1 species
GUUGGUUUGAUAAGCGAGAUGUGAAAGCCCCGGGCUUAACCUGGGAACGGCAUUUCGAACUGUCAGGCUAGAGUAUGGUAGAGGGUAGUGGAAUUUCCUGUGUAGCGGUGAAAUGCGUAGAUAUAGGAAGGAACACCAGUGGCGAAGGCGGCUACCUGGACCAAUACUGACACUGAGGUGCGAAAGCGUGGGGAGCAAACAGGAUUNAGAUACCCUGGUAGUCCACGCCGUAAACGAUGUCUACUAGCCGUUGGGACUCUUGAAGUCUUAGUGGCGCAGCUAACGCACUAAGUAGACCGCCUGGGGAGUACGGCCGCAAGGUUAAAACUCAAAUGAAUUGACGGGGGCCCGCACAAGCGGUGGAGCAUGUGGUUUAAUUCGACGCAACGCGAAGAACCUUACCUGGCCUUGACAUGCAGAGAACUUUCCAGAGAUGGAUUGGUGCCUUCGGGAACUCUGACACAGGUGCUGCAUGGCCGUCGUCAGCUCGUGUCGUGAGAUGUUGGGUUAAGUCCCGUAACGAGCGCAACCCCUAUCCCUAGUUGCUAGCAGUUCGGCUGAGAACUCUAGGGAGACUGCCGGUGACAAACCGGAGGAAGGUGGGGAUGACGUCAGGUCAUCAUGGCCCUUACGGCCAGGGCUACACACGUGCUACAAUGGUGCGCACAGAGGGCUGCAAACCCGCGAGGGGGAGCCAAUCUCACAAAACGCAUCGUAGUCCGGAUCGCAGUCUGCAACUCGACUGCGUGAAGUCGGAAUCGCUAGUAAUCGUGAAUCAGAAUGUCACGGUGAAUACGUUCCCGGGCCUUGUACACACCGCCCGUCACACCAUGGGAGUGGAUUGCACCAGAAGUGGUUAGU